UGUUGUGAUGAAGUUCUUAAAACUAUGUUAGUGAACGAUAAAGAAAAGAUUUAUCGUAUAGUUCUUAAACAUAUUCAUGAUCAAAUGAUAUGUCAUUAUAGGAUGAUGACAUUUAUCGAGUGGAGGUUGUUGUGUAUCAUAUGGGUUGGUUGUCCUCUUAACCGAGUGUGGUGACUCUGGUAUGACAUACAGGUGAGAUGUAAGAGUAUAUCGUCACUGAAUAAGUGACUCAUCUUCUGAGCAUUCUACUGUCAAGAGCUGCUCGCAAAGCAUAUGGACAUAAGUACCCCUUCGACCUG
rnacentral:lncRNA from 1 species